rnacentral:lncRNA from 1 species
ACGUGCGGCCCAGUGGAAGAUCCAUGCUGAAAUCGAAGGGUAACGGAGGUAGAUUUUCGCAAUCCACAGCCUCCUUCUCGGGUGUUAUCAGUUUCAUGAGGUCGAUGCCGCAGAUCUUUGUACGCAUUAGCACCAUAAGGUAUCGUUGAUUCUUCUCCGCCACCAUCCCUUCCAUCUCAGCCAGAAAAGGGGAUAAACCCUGGCAAUGAGGAAAUUGUUGAAGCAGCUGAUACUGGAACGGAAAUCAAUCCUGGUGGAUAGAUAACUACGUAGUGGCAUGGGCCGAUUGACAUUGGGUUCAUGUGAUCCAGCCCGAAAUAUAUACCGAACCUAUUUAUUAGAUUCGAAUUCGGCUCUAAAUGCGAUGAAACCUAUACACGUUUGGACUACGAUUAUAUGAAAACUGGGCCGUUAAUAUUAUAUUAUCUUGAUAUUUUCUUAUAAACUAGCAUGUGAAAAUAUCCAAAUUUUCAACACUCCAACUAUUAUUUGACAUGGUAAAAUUCACUUAAAAAAAUAUAACAAGAACCAACUCUUUUCUAAAAUUAAAGCAUAACCAUAAUUAAUACUAAUAUUAUCUAAUAACACCAAAUACUUAAAUCAAUACAAAUAACACAAUAUUAUGCAUUAAUAUAAAAUCUUAUGCAUUUUAAACAUAAAACAUUAACUUAUAGUCUUAUAAUAACUAAUAACACAAAAUAUUAAGGUUUACAAUACUUAAAUUCCACAUAAGAAUAACUAUCAUCUAUCAUUAAUAACAAAAAAUAUUAAUUAUAUAUGAUGACCGGGCCACCGGAUCGAGUUCGGGCAACCCGAGCCAUGGCACCGACCCGACCCGACCCGAAAUAAUGACCGAGUCUAUUUUUGAGACCCUUACCCGGUGAAAUCACACUAAAUUAGUCCCUAAAGUGUUCGGGACUGGACCGGGUCUUCAGACCGGGUCAGGCCAUGCACACCCCUAUCAUGAAAUAGGGGUGUUCACGGACAGGCUGGGUUUAAUUAGAUUCUGGACUCGACCCUCUAAAGUUCAACGGAUCUAUUUUUACUAGAACCGAAAUAAUUCGAAAUAAAUAGAGUUAACCUCGGACAAUUCGAUGUAAAAUUAGUAUAUACAAAUUUAUAAAUUUUAUAUAUUAAUCUAAUUCCAAAUUCAACCCGAAAGUAACACCAGACAAAAAUAAUAAGCCUAAACCUAAUAAAAUAUGCCUUAGAUUUGGAUAGAAUUUUGAGGGUCUUGAACCCCCCGAGAAUAAAGUGCUUCACAAGAAAUAAUUAGUUCUAUCAACUUAGUGACAGGGGGAGAUAAAUUGAAGAGUGUAGUCUUUUGCAGUUAGUUAGAGAAAUUUUGAGUAUUCUUCUCUGAAGUGGAUUCCCCACUCGAAUAAGAACAUUUAUAAUUUUCUGUAUUAUUGAUUGUAAUUUCAAAUUUCAUCUUUUUCCUCAUAUAUUCUUAAGCUAAUAUUUGGUGCUUUCGUUAAGAGAGAUGACCAUAUCCAAUAAACUUAAUCGACAAGCUGAGAUUGCACAGGCACAGUCACAAACUGUGGAAAGUUAAUUAAAUGUGCUUAAACUAUAAGUUACUCUAGAUUCAUCAAACCUUGGAAUUUUUCAUGUUGAUAAGCAUGGCAGAAGGAAAUUGAUUGUUGUUUGAGGGGAAAAAAAAUGAUUGUCAUGGUGUUUAUUAUUGCUUUUCGCCUCACUAAUAAUGGUAGUGGUACCGAUACAAUUUUUACAAUUAUUAUAUUACCAGUAUUUGAUAAAUAAUUUGAUUAGCCAAGUCAAAAGCGUUUAUAUUCCACAUGAAAAUCUUCCACUUCUAUCAUUUACAUUAUUAUCAUCACUGAGAAUUACCAUAAAAUAAUUAUUAGAAAAUUAAACUUAAAAAUAAAACAAAAACAAAAAACAAAUUUCCUAAAAUCACACACAACAAAAACUAACCAAUUUCUUUUAAAAUUUAUAGUUUAAAACUGGAUUUUGUUAGGACGGUGUAAAAUAAUUUCACAUGUACAUGCAAUUACAUAACACCACAUCAGUAAAAAUAACUAUAUUUGACGCAUAAAUAGUCAUCUAAAAAAACAAAUGACUGUCUAAAACACCGUACACUGUAUCAAAAUUAAACUCUAUAAUUUAUAUUAAUAAAACACUUAAUUUCACUGGAAUUAUUUCAUCAGUUUACCAUUUAAGUACAACAAUGUCAUUACACUGUAUAAAUCUCAUUCAAGAUUGAACAAGCUCGUAUAAAGUCAUUUUAGGUCGUCUUCUAUCUAGUCUUUCUUUGAUAAUAUACUAUAGAGUAAAUGAACUUCUACAUGCAUUGUUUGAACAGGUUUUGCCUUUUGAUGUGCUACAUAUUUUAAACCCUCCAAAAAAUUUUAUUUAGAAAAGAAAAAAGAUUAAUUUCUGCAUAAUGCGUGAUUCAGAAACAAACAAAGGAUGAGUAUUAUGAUAUCACAUUCCAAAUAGGCAUAAUAAAAUUUAAAGGGGAAAGCAUCUUAAAAUAAGUUUGAGAAUAAAAGAGAUACUAAAUAAGAAAACACAAGUCAGAAAUCGGCAAAUUGGGUACAACAAUAUAAUACAAUAAGCAGGUUGGUCAAAAUGGCGGAGCGCAUCUGGUUUUAUAUGCGACAAAAAAGUGCCUUUAAAACUUAAAGGUAAAUUCUAUCGCACCGCUAUAAGACCGGCUAUGCUGUAUGGUACGGAGUGUUGGGCGGCUAAAGGGGAGCACGAACAUAAGUUGAGUGUGGCUGAGAUGAAGAUGUUGAGAUGGAUGAGUGGUCAUACGCGAUUGGAUAAAAUAAGGAAUGAAGAUAUAAGGGAGAGAGUUGGAGUAGCACCCAUUGUGGAAAAGAUGGUUGAAUCGCGUCUCAGGUGGUUUGGACAUGUGGGAAGAAGACCGAUAGAACAUCCAGUCAGGAGGGUGGAUGAGAUGGAAGAUGGACAAAGGGCGAAAGGCAGAGGAAGACCUAAGAAGACCAUCCAUGAGGUGGUCAAACGAGAUCUACAUGUAAACGGUCUUUCUAUAGACAUGAUACAUGACAGAGCACAAUGGCGUCGUUUGAUUCAUGUAGCCGACCCCACUUAGUGGGACAAGGCUUUGUUGUUGUUGUUGUUGUUGUAUAAGCAACUCGUUACCUAAAAGUAGCAAAAUAAAAAUUAAAAAGAUACUGAUAUAUAUACUUUGCUGGGAAAAGGAAUAGAAAAUCGCUAAUAAUAAAAGGAACUAUAGAGAGAUGUACGCAACAAAUGCUGCUCCUUCCCACUGGAUCGGAACAAGGCAGAAGUUUGAAACAUAGGAAUAAUCAAAGAGUCCCUACUUUGUUGACAUCAGAACUAUCCAAGCUAGACUAGAGAUUUCAAGAAAACUAGCAUAGUUGUCCUUGUCAGUUGUCAUGGUUUGUUACACAUCCUACUUGGUUUAAUAAUUGAGAUUUCAGUCCUUGAUGCUGCAAGUUCAACAAAUUCAAACGGCGACAAGAUGGUAGGAUCUCAUGUGAACAGCAAGCUUUUGAGUGGGAACUAUGGCAAUAAAAAAUAUCAAAGAUGAAAUAACCAGGAAGAACCUUCAUCAACUCAUGAAUUGAAACAAGAUUGGCAUGCAUUGGCAAACUUAUUCACAGCAGCCGAUUAUGUGUGUUAAUGUGUAUUGGCCAAACAGAAUUACAGUACAAAAUAGUCAAGCACAAAAGCAUUCACAGCCAACCAAUCAAUAUGGGAUAACAAUAAAUAAUAAAGCAGCUUUAAGAAAACUAUGACAAAACAGAGGCGAGCAUUACCUUUUUGAAGCAAGCAUGUUCGAAAUUCAAAUUCGCCUACAUUUCUUUUUUCCCCACAUCGCGACCUCCUGGGCAUUCUCUUCCCACUGGAUGUCAGGGAAAACAAAGAAAGCAGGCAACUCAUUGAUGCCCAGCUUCAUGCUGUACAUGUGCAUGCUAAGGACCUUCCAAUCUAAGAACUCACACUCCAAUGGGGACCUCACAGACCUACGGAAGACCCGAGAGGGAUAGUUGACUAACUUCAUUGCCACCUGAAGAACCAAUACGCAGAGGACUGGGUCCUGUUUUUGAUCGUUUGCAAAGCCAGGUGCCAUAACAACAAACGUGCCUUUGCCAUCAAGAUCAACAAGUACAGGCGUUUCCUCAUAAUACAAGGACGACAUUCUAUCUAAGCAGCCUUCAAGCCUUUGGAAGAUAAGGACACCAAAUUCAUCCACCUGGAAAGCAUAUAUCUUGUAUAUUCCUCCAAUGUGUUCGCAUGAAAGUGCCAGGUAUUUGCCAGGAUCAAACAAAUCUGUAACAAUAUCAAUACCAAUACGAAUAACAAUACUCAGGAGUAAACAACAUGAAGAUGCAGGAAAUUAGCUGAUACCUGGAAUACGCACUCUUGGAAGAAAGAACCGACGCUGGCCAUACAGUGGGACACAAAAAGAACGCGUAAAACUAUUGUCACCCUCACUCGUUGUCCAAUGUGAGUUAUGGGUGUCAUAAGAGUAGACGAAAACGCUUCCAUCUUCGAAGCAGAUUCGGAGGUAUAGCUUACCAUAGAAGUCGAACCAUGAACUGUGAUCAACUAUGGAAUCUGAGGGUGGGUUAGGAUCACUAGGAGCAUCAGGUAAGUCUUUCCAAACCCUAGUCCCAGAGCGUAGAACCCAAAAAUUAUGAGGACCAGACCCGGGUAUGAGACGGUCCAUACCACACAUCUUUAUCAAAUAAUAAUCACUUCCGAUUUUGUGAAGAAUAUAGUAUCUGGUAUUAAUAAACCCUGGAAAAUCAUAGAUUGAAUUCGACUCCUUCACCUCCUUCUUGUCAAGGUCUAGUUCGUAGACUUUUUUGCAAGGCUCGGAAGCACGAUCAUAAGAAGCAGCUGCUUCGGACAAAUAUUUGACACCUCCAACGAGAUGAAUCUUGGAAUCCAACUCGAUAGCGAACAUGCGGCCCAGUGGAAGAUCCACGCUGAAAUCAAAGGGAAACGGAGGUAGAUUUUUCCAAUCCACAGCCUCCUCCCCGUCCUUCUCGGGUGUUAUCAGUUUCAUGGGGUCGAUGCCGCAGAUCCUUCUACGCAUUCGCACCAUAAGGUAUCGUUGAUUCUUCUCCGCCACCAUCCCUUCCAUCUCAGCCAGAAAAGGGGACAAACCCUAGCAAUGAAUUUUUUUCGACGGUAUUUCCUAACUGCACAGGUCAAGGACUAAUCCGUUGCAAAGGACUAAUACAUCGGAAUCUGAG